CGGCAGCGCGGGAGCAAUCCUGGCGGCGAGUGGCGAACGGGUGAGUAAUAUAUCGGAACGUGCCCAUUAGUGGGGGAUAGCCCGGCGAAAGCCGGAUUAAUACCGCAUACGACCUGAGGGUGAAAGCGGGGGAUCGCAAGACCUCGCGCUAUUGGAGCGGCCGAUAUCAGAUUAGCUAGUUGGUGGGGUAAAGGCCUACCAAGGCAACGAUCUGUAGUUGGUCUGAGAGGACGACCAGCCACACUGGGACUGAGACACGGCCCAGACUCCUACGGGAGGCAGCAGUGGGGAAUUUUGGACAAUGGGCGCAAGCCUGAUCCAGCAAUGCCGCGUGCAGGAAGAAGGCCUUCGGGUUGUAAACUGCUUUUGUCAGGGAAGAAAUCCUUUGGGCUAAUACCUCGGAGGGAUGACGGUACCUGAAGAAUAAGCACCGGCUAACUACGUGCCAGCAGCCGCGGUAAUACGUAGGGUGCGAGCGUUAAUCGGAAUUACUGGGGCGUAAAGCGUGCGCAGGCGGCUUUGCAAGACAGAGGUGAAAUCCCCGGGCUCAACCUGGGAACUGCCUUUGUGACUGCAAGGCUAGAGUACGGCAGAGGGGGAUGGAAUUCCGCGUGUAGCAGUGAAAUGCGUAGAUAUGCGGAGGAACACCGAUGGCGAAGGCAAUCCCCUGGGCCUGUACUGACGCUCAUGCACGA
rnacentral:rRNA from 1 species